CUGCGUUUACGUCAUCAGCGAGCGCCGAAUUCAACAUGGCGAGUGUUGUUUAGUUGUUGUUAAUCUGCGCUUCCGAAUUAACCCCCAAUCACUGAACCCGGCAGUCUCUCUCGUCUUCAGCCACCAUGGGCGAUGAGAAGCAGUCAGAGGCUCGUAAUUUCUUCAUGGGCUUUGAUGACCUGAGCGACAGCAGCAGUGACUCGGACGGUGAGUCCGGUGUGAAGAACCGAAGCGAACCGGAGCCCUCAGCAUCGACUGAAGCGCAGGGCCGCAAGCGAGCCGCCGAACCGCUGCCGAAACCCGACGAUCUUUUCCGAUCCGUCACCAAACCCGCUUUCCUCUACAACCCGCUCAAUAAAGUCAUCGACUGGGACAGAAGAGCCGUCAAAGCGCCAGAAGAGCCUCCUAAGCAGUUCAAGGUGUGGAAGAACAAUGCCGUUCCUCCGCCGCAGACGUACGUGACGGAGGAGAAGAAGAAAGGAGCUCCUGAUGGAAUGGACAUGGCCAUCAAAUGGUCCAAUGUGUACGAGGACAACGGAGACGACGCCCCUCAAGCCCAUGGUGGCCCCGCCCACUUCCUGCCGGAGGAGGAGCAACAGCAGGACUCUGAUGACGAUGCGUCUGGGAAGCAGCAGGCGUCUGCUAAGAAGCGUCGUGUAGAAACCUUCCAGCAGAAGGAAAAGAGGAAGCGGGACAUCGGACAGGCCACGUCUGAUAAGAACUUUGUGGAAGAGGAGAAGCGGAUCCUGCGUCAGAGUUUGGACUGAAGAGCGCUCCGCUGGUUUUAAUCCCUGAUUAUUUAACAUCUCUGGAUGCUGACGGGAAGGGCAUCACGACUCCGGGGAUAUUUUACAUUUAUUACUCUAAAAUCACGUCCAUGUAGAGGGAGAGGGUUUAGGAUGAUGUGUUUGUGUUUUGGACGUCAUUGUAAGUAUGACUUCAACUGUAAAUGUGUAGCUGCAUCCAAGCAUCCAUUGGUUAUGAUGUUUCUUGUAAGUUUCCAAUGAUUUGUAGCUUCUCAAAUGGAUAAAGCCCUUUUCUCGGA